CUUAACACAUGCAAGUCGUACGAGAACUCUUUAGCUUGCUAAAGAUAGUAAAGUGGCGCACGGGUGAGUAUCGCGUGGGUAAUCUACCUUCGAAUCUGGGAUAACAUUGCGAAAGCGAUGCUAAUACCGGAUAAUAUCUCAAAAUCAUAAGGUUUUGAGAUCAAAAAUGGCCUAUACAUGUAAGCUGUUGUUUGGAGAUGAGCCCGCGUACCAUUAGCUUGUUGGUAGGGUAAUGGCCUACCAAGGCAACGAUGGUUAGCUGGUCUGAGAGGAUGAUCAGCCACACUGGAACUGACACACGGUCCAGACUCCUACGGGAGGCAGCAGUGAGGAAUUUUGCGCAAUGGGGGAAACCCUGACGCAGCAACGCCGCGUGAGUGAUGAAGGCCUUUGGGUCGUAAAGCUCUGUCAAGUGGGAAGAAAAUGUAAAAUGUUAAUACCAUUUUUCACUGACGGUACCACUGAAGGAAGCACCGGCUAACUCCGUGCCAGCAGCCGCGGUAAUACGGAGGGUGCAAGCGUUAUUCGGAAUUAUUGGGCGUAAAGGGCGCGUAGGCGGCCUUUUAAGUCAGAUGUGAAAGCCCGGGGCUUAACCCCGGAAGUGCAUUUGAAACUAAAGGGCUUGAGUAUGGGAGAGGGAAGUGGAAUUCCUGGUGUAGCGGUGAAAUGCGUAGAUAUCAGGAGGAACACCGGUGGCGAAGGCGACUUCCUGGACCAAUACUGACGCUAAGGCGCGAAGGCGUGGGUAGCAAACAGGAUUAGAUACCCUGGUAGUCCACGCAGUAAACGGUGAACACUAGGUGUAGCGGGUAUUGACCCCUGCUGUGCCGCAGCUAACGCAUUAAGUGUUCCGCCUGGGGAGUACGACCGCAAGGUUAAAACUCAAAGGAAUUGACGGGGGCCCGCACAAGCGGUGGAGCAUGUGGUUUAAUUCGACGCAACGCGAAGAACCUUACCUGGNUUUGACAUCCCGG
rnacentral:rRNA from 1 species